rfam:Hordeum vulgare subsp. vulgare, WGS project CAJW01000000 data, contig: morex_contig_1585739
UUUAUGCACCCUCCAUACCGGAUUAUUUGUCUUAGAUUUGUCUAGAUAUGGAUGUAUCUAGACACGUUUUAGUGUUAGAUGCAUCCGUAUCUAAACAAAUCUGAGACAAGUAAUCUGGGCUGGAGGUAAUACAUG